rnacentral:rRNA from 1 species
GACGAACGCUGGCGGCGCGCUUAACACAUGCAAGUCGAGCGAAGCGGCGGCCGGGUGAGUAACACGUGAGUAACCUGCCUUAGACAUUGGGAUAGCCUCGGGAAACCGGGAUUAAUACCAAAUGGUCUAAGAUGGACUCGCGUCCCAUUAGCUAGUUGGUGGGUAACGGCCCACCAAGGCGACGAUGGGUAGCCGGCCUGGGAGGGUGAGCGGCCACGUUGGGACUGAGAUACGGCCCGGACUCUACGGGAGGCAGCAGUGGGGGAUAUUGCACAAUGGGCGAAAGCAUGAUGCAGCGACGCCGCGUGGGGGAUGAAGGCUUUGGGGUUGUAAACCUCUUUCGCUAUCGAACGGGUAGGUGGAGAAGAAGCGCCGGCUAACUACGUGCCAGCAGCCGCGUAAUUC